GGCUUGGCUUCCAUUCCCUAAAGCCUUGGAUAGGUCUUCUCGAGCACAAGCAGAGGGCCUGCUGGGAGAAAGGUUCAGGGUGAUGUCUCCCAGGCACCUGGUCUGCUCAGGCUUCCGUGACCAUCAUAAUCAUCUCGAUGCUUCUUGAACUGCCUUCACCUGCAUUCAAGUGCUUCUUUGACAUGAAUGGAAAAGUUCUGCUCAUUCAUGUGUUCAUUUAUUCACCAGAUGUUUGCAGAGUGCUCAUUACUGUGCACUUGGCGUUGGGUGUAGAGGGCACAGAGGUAAAGCAAGAGGCGUUUCUGCCAUCGAUGAGCUGGAAUGAGUGCCGGGUAAAGAACCCUCCAUGGGACCUCGUAGAGAACUAACGGAAGCAUUCAAGCUUCAAGACUACUAGCUCUAUGUGACAGAUGAGAAGACCAAGGUACAGAGGGAUUCAUUUGCAAAGAGCAGGCCAUACCUAGCAUCCAGAGAAGCACUCUUUCCAUUCCCUGGGGCUGCCCUGGAGGCCUCUCCAGCCCAAUAGCUUCACGGUGGUAGUUGGUUAGCUUGAGUGAACAGACAUCACGUGCUUGCCCUGUCUCCACACCCUCCACUCCCUACUGGGCUCCACAGCAUUGGCCCAGUUGCCUAUGUGGACUCUUUGCUGGCCUUAGAUCCUGGGAUCACAUUUUGUAUUGCCUGCCCAUCAUGGACUCCAUGUCUGAGGCUUCCCACCUCCAAUUAGCAUAGUUAAUAUAACACAUACUUCAGCUCUUUCCAGUGAGUCUAGCAGGUGUGUGUGUACCUAGAGGCCACGAGGUAUUUCAUAGCAUGGCAGCUGCAUGGGGCACCGAGAGUGGCACCAUUUCAUUUUCACCAAUAGCCACAUAGUGAGUGACAGGUUGCGUGUUGGGAGCACACACAAGGUCUGAGUGGCUCAGAGGGGCUUUGCAGAGGGCACCUGGAACAGCAAAGUAGAUGAAGGGACUGGCAUGUAUAAAGGGCCAGGGGCAGGCACAGCAGUUUGUCGG
ensembl:lncRNA